GCACUGGUCGUCUAAUCUGGAAAGACGUCGCCUUCGUAACGCGGUCAUGUGGGUUCAAGUCCCACCUGGUGCUC
rnacentral:tRNA from 1 species